rnacentral:rRNA from 1 species
UACGUAGGGUGCAAGCGUUAUCCGGAUUCACUGGGUUUAAAGGGUGCGUAGGCGGGCAGGUAAGUCAGUGGUGAAAUCUCCGAGCUUAACUCGGAAACUUCCAUUGAUACUAUUUGUCUUGAAUAUUUGGAGGUAAGCGGAAUAUGUCAUGUAGCGGUGAAAUGCUUAGAUAUGACAUAGAACACCAAUUGCGAAGGCAGCUUACUACACAAUGAUUGACGCUGAGGCACGAAAGCGUGGGGAUCAAACAGG